rnacentral:rRNA from 1 species
GACGAACGCUGGCGGCGUGCUUAACACAUGCAAGUCGAGUGCGUAGCCCUUUGUAGCAAUACAGAGGGUGGGCGCACGGCGCACGGGUGAGUAACACGUGGGUAACCUGCCCUUCGGUGGGGAAUAACCCGCGAAAGCGGGGCUAAUUCCGCAUAACAUUCCGGGGACACAUGUUCUCGGACUCAAAGGAGUGAUUCGCCGGAGGAGGGGCCCGCGCCCGAUUAGCUUGUUGGUAGGGUAACGGCCUACCAAGGCUUUGAUCGGUAGCCGGUCUGAGAGGAUGGCCGGCCACACUGGAACUGAGACACGGUCCAGACUCCUACGGGAGGCAGCAGUGGGGAAUCUUGCGCAAUGGGCGAAAGCCUGACGCAGCGACGCCGCGUGGGGAUGAAGCUUCU